GAUGAAGAACGUAGCGAAAUGCGAUAAGUAAUGUGAAUUGCAGAAUUCAGUGAAUCAUCGAAUCUUUGAACGCACAUUGCGCCCGCCAGUAUUCUGGCGGGCAUGCCUGUUCGAGCAUCAUUUCAACCAUCAAGCCCUGCUUGCGUUGGGGUCCUGCGGCUGCCCGCAGGCCCUGAAAACCAGUGGCGGGCUCGCUAGUCACACCGAGCGCAGUAAUACAUCUCGCUUUGGGCGUGCGGCGGGUUCUUGCCGUUAAACACCCCCUUUUUACCAAGGUUGACCUCGGACCAGGUAGGAAUACCCGCUGAACUUAAGCAUAUCAAUAAGCGGAGGA
rnacentral:misc_RNA from 1 species